AUGCACAGGAGAAGCACAGAAGAGCAGAAGAUGGUCUGUGCGCAAAAUGACUGCAUUUCCUUGAGGCUGGAAGCUGAUGUGGAGGCAAGAAAUGCUUCAGGGUUCUGGACACUAAAAAUUGCCAAGGAGAGUGAAGGAAUGCUUUUAAAAUCAAAAUAAGCACCCACUGUGGGAAGAUUUUGCUAUGGGAUUCUCUCCUAUGGAGACACGCUCUGAAGGAACCCAGAUGGCCAGCCAGUGGCCAGUCCUGUGACAUGGACAGCGGGCCAACUGCUAAGCUGUUAGGCACAAGCAUGGAAAUUACAAAAAUAUUCAAAUAUCCAUUAUCGGAGACUCUGUUUGCCAAGCAUCCUAUCUAAUCAGGGAAAGCCUGCUGGAACAGAUGGGCCCUACACUGUGCCCUAUAAGCCAGGAAACUUGGACAUGCUAGGACCGCGGUGCAUCAAAGUGCCAAAUACUGCCGCUUCUACAGAGAACUCAUUUUCCACCGGGCAAAAGACAGACUGCUCUUGCUUUUCAGGGAUCGCCAUUUCCUACCUGCAGCAAGUCCUCUGACUCCAACCCAGGAAGGAGGACCGACAGUCCCAAGAGACAAAGAGACAAAGCCCCCACCCCCCCACCCCAGAGUCGGAUUGCCUGAAGCAAGGACUCCUGAGGACAGAAACUCUGGGACAGAAACUCUCUGCUGAGGGGACUCAGGGAACACAGCAGAUUUUAAGGAGAGGGCUGUUGAAAGCUGCCUAAAUGCAGGUGCUUAAACAUAGAGAAAAUGCCUUCUUUUCAACUUUAUAUUUAUGAGUAGUUUACAGAAAGCUUUCCAGCCAAAGGAAACAAAAUUAGUAAACACAGUAAGUAAUGGAUUCAACAAAUACAGCUAAGGAUAAAGAACUCAUUUACAUUUAAUGAGACAGCGAUUGUUUAUUAAAUAAGAAAUGGUUGUGUUUAUGAAGCUGGCCUUAAAGGUUUUUCAGGAAGAAUACAUUAAGCGUAGAACAUAGCUGUUCAUAUUCAAAAGAUGCGACUUGAGAAAAGGAGGAGGGGAGGGGCCGGAGGAAUAAUGAAAAAAGCAAGAGGCUGAUAACUUCUUCUGGAAUAUAGGGCAUCCAGCAGACAAAAAUUUAAUGGAAAAUAAAUUCCACAAAAUGUUCCCUUCCUUGGAUGUUAUACCGCAGGCUGCCUCCACAAUAUUGAUUUUUUUUUUCUUUUAAAGAGUGUAUGAUUACUAGAGAAUUUAUGGCAUGUUGGAAUAUACAUUCUGGCCCUGACCCUGUAUAAUAGAUUUUUGAAUCAAAAUUUCUGCAACUAUGUUUGUGACUACGGGGAUAUGUGUUAGUUGCAGCUAUCUCUCUAAUUUCUAAGGGAGGAAAAACUAGGUUCCACUUAGAAAACUGGAAAACUCCCUAGCCUCCCAUGAAAGAUAAGACCAAGCAAAAAGUGUAACAGCAUAGCAAAGUCGUUUCUGUCUAAGAUUUGCAAAGACCAGCUGAAUCACAGGAUUUAGAUGAGACUUUUACCUGCAGGGUCUCUUAAACACAUGUGGUGUAGCAACUGUGCUCAUUCAUUCUGGGGGCCAAAUCCUUUUUGUAACUUGCUGUUUUAUGUCUUAAAUAGCAUCACACACAGAAUCGGAACACCUGAAUUUGAGCCCUGGUGGGCCACUAGCUAGCUGUGGCAGAAAAUUCUCGUUUUCACCAGUAUCUUCUCUUCCUGUUUUAAUGGCUAGUCUACAUUUUCCAUCCACGGUUAAAGUUGGGUCUGCAUAUGACAUUGUUCUGAGUGACAGGAUGAGGGCAGAAGUGAUGUGUACCAUUUUUUUAGGACAUCUUUUAGCAGGAAUAAAUUGUGAUUCCCUUGGUUCCUUACUCCUUUCUGCUGUUUGGGUUACAGAUGUGAUGGUGAGUGCUGAAGCAGCCACUUUGGAACUGGAAUUAAAAGCUGUGGCUGUCAAGAUCACUCUGCCAGUACUAGGUCAUCUACCUAAUUGAAAGAGAAAUUCACUUCUACAUGCAUUUGGAGGUGCAUGUUAAAACAUUGUAUCUUGACUAAUACAGAACUCAAUUAUAAUAGCCUUUGAAACUAAAACAUUAUUUUAUACAUUGACCUCUGGUUUUUAAACACAAGCUUCUUAAGGGUCAGGACUCUAAUAAAGUUAACACUCUAAAGUAAAUAUACUAAUGCUCUUCCCAUAGAUAUUAAGGACAAAGAUAAGAGAAAAAGGAAGGAGAAGCAAAACUGUAUCCUUGAAGAUGAAAAAGAACACUUCAUCAGUUCAUCGCUUUACUAAAGAUCAAUUCAUCACUUUACUAAAGAACGGUGAAGAAACGCUGUAUUGAAAUACCAGGAGUAGUUGUGACACGAAGACUACUGUUUGUAACAAACAUGUUUCACUUAAGAGAAUAAGAAGAAGUUCUAGAUCAGGCCUUUGGGUAUGAGGUUGAAAAUGUACAAUAUAGAGGUCGACUUAUCAAGAGAAAAUCAAAUCAGUGAGAAGCAGUGCUGGUUACAUGAAAUAAAAACAAACAAACAAAAA
rnacentral:lncRNA from 1 species